AUUGAACGCUGGCGGCAGGCUUAACACAUGCAAGUCGAGCGAGCGGCGGACGGGUGAGUAAUGUCUGGGAAACUGCCUGAUGGAGGGGGAUAACUACUGGAAACGGUAGCUAAUACCGCAUACCCUCAGAUGUGCCCAGAUGGGAUUAGCUAGUUGGUGGGGUAAUGGCUCACCAAGGCGACGAUCCCUAGCUGGUCUGAGAGGAUGAUCGGCCAAACUGGAACUGAGACACGGUCCAGAUUCCUACGGGAGGCAGCAGUGGGGAAUAUGGCACAGUGGGCGCAAGCCUGAUGCAGCCAUGCCGCGUGUGUGAAGAAGGCCUUCGGGUUGUAAAGCACUUUCAGCGGGGAGGCGUUACUCGCAGAAGAAGCACCGGCUAACUCCGUGCCAGCCGCCGCGGUAAUUC
rnacentral:rRNA from 1 species